CCAAUAGCGUAUAUUAAAGUUGUUGUGGUUAAAAAGCUCGUAGUUGAACCUUGGGCCUGGCUGGCCGGUCCGCCUCACCGCGUGUACUGGUCCGGCCGGGCCUUUCCCUCUGUGGAACCCCAUGCCCUUCACUGGGCGUGGCGGGGAAACAGGACUUUUACUGGGAAAAAAUUAGAGUGCUCCAGGCAGGCCUAUGCUCGAAUACAUUAGCAUGGAAUAAUAGAAUAGGACGUGUGGUUCUAUUUUGUUGGUUUCUAGGACCGCCGUAAUGAUUAAUAGGGACAGUCGGGGGCAUCAGUAUUCAAUUGUCAGAGGUGAAAUUCUUGGAUUUAUUGAAGACUAACUACUGCGAAAGCAUUUGCCAAGGAUGUUUUCAUUAAUCAGGAACGAAAGUUAGGGGAUCGAAGACGAUCAGAUACCGUCGUAGUCUUAACCAUAAACUAUGCCGACUAGGGAUCGGACGGUGUUAUUUUUUGACCCGUUCGGCACCUUACG
rnacentral:rRNA from 1 species